GACGAACGCUGGCGGCGUGCCUAAUACAUGCAAGUCGAGCGGGCCUCCGGAGGUGCUUGCACCUCCGGAAGGCCAGCGGCGGACGGGUGAGUAACACGUGGGCAACCUGCCUUUGAGGCCGGGAUAACACCGGGAAACCGGUGCUAAUACCGGAUGCGUCCUCUUUCGUGCCUGCGAGAGGGGAGAAAGACGGUCUUCGGGCCGUCGCUCAAAGAGGGGCCCGCGGCGCAUUAGCUGGUUGGUGGGGUAAGGGCCUACCAAGGCGACGAUGCGUUGCCGGCCUGAGAGGGUGAUCGGCCAGACUGGGACUGAGACACGGCCCAGACUCCUGCGGGAGGCAGCAGUAGGGAAUCAUCCGCAAUGGGCGAAAGCCUGACGGUGCAACGCCGCGUGAGUGAGGAAGGUUUUCGGAUCGUAAAGCUCUGUUGUGAGGGAAGAACAGCUUCCGGAGGAAAUGCCGGAGGUUUGCCGGUACCUCACCAGAAAGCCCCGGCUAACUACGUGCCAGCCGCCGCCGUAA
rnacentral:rRNA from 1 species